rnacentral:rRNA from 1 species
GAGUUACGAUUUGAUGCAAGGUUAAGCAGUAAAUGUGGAGCCGUAGCGAAAGCGAGUCUGAAUAGGGCGUUUAGUAUUUGGUCGUAGACCCGAAACCAGGUGAUCUACCCUUGGUCAGGUUGAAGUUCAGGUAACACUGAAUGGAGGACCGAACCGACUUACGUUGAAAAGUGAGCGGAUGAACUGAGGGUAGCGGAGAAAUUCCAAUCGAACCUGGAGAUAGCUGGUUCUCUCCGAAAUAGCUUUAGGGCUAGCCUCAAGUGAUGAUUAUUGGAGGUAGAGCACUGUUUGGACGAGGGGCCCCUCUCGGGUUACCGAAUUCAGACAAACUCCGAAUGCCAAUUAAUUUAACUUGGGAGUCAGAACAUGGGUGAUAAGGUCCGUGUUCGAAAGGGAAACAGCCCAGACCACCAGCUAAGGUCCCAAAAUAUAUGUUAAGUGGAAAAGGAUGUGGCGUUGCCCAGACAACUAGGAUGUUGGCUUAGAAGCAGCCAUCAUUUAAAGAGUGCGUAAUAGCUCACUAGUCGAGUGACACUGCGCCGAAAAUGUACCGGGGCUAAACAUAUUACCGAAGCUGUGGAUUGUCCUUUGGACAAUGGUAGGAGAGCGUUCUAAGGGCGUUGAAGCAUGAUCGUAAGGACAUGUGGAGCGCUUAGAAGUGAGAAUGCCGGUGUGAGUAGCGAAAGACGGGUGAGAAUCCCGUCCACCGAUUGACUAAGGUUUCCAGAGGAAGGCUCGUCCGCUCUGGGUUAGUCGGGUCCUAAGCUGAGGCCGACAGGCGUAGGCGAUGGAUAACAGGUUGAUAUUCCUGUACCACCUAUAAUCGUUUUAAUCGAUGGGGGGACGCAGUAGGAUAGGCGAAGCGUGCGAUUGGAUUGCACGUCUAAGCAGUAAGGCUGAGUAUUAGGCAAAUCCGGUACUCGUUAAGGCUGAGCUGUGAUGGGGAGAAGACAUUGUGUCUUCGAGUCGUUGAUUUCACACUGCCGAGAAAAGCCUCUAGAUAGAAAAUAGGUGCCCGUACCGCAAACCGACACAGGUAGUCAAGAUGAGAAUUCUAAGGUGAGCGAGCGAACUCUCGUUAAGGAACUCGGCAAAAUGACCCCGUAACUUCGGGAGAAGGGGUGCUCUUUAGGGUUAACGCCCAGAAGAGCCGCAGUGAAUAGGCCCAAGCGACUGUUUAUCAAAAACACAGGUCUCUGCUAAACCGUAAGGUGAUGUAUAGGGGCUGACGCCUGCCCGGUGCUGGAAGGUUAAGAGGAGUGGUUAGCUUCUGCGAAGCUACGAAUCGAAGCCCCAGUAAACGGCGGCCGUAACUAUAACGGUCCUAAGGUAGCGAAAUUCCUUGUCGGGUAAGUUCCGACCCGCACGAAAGGCGUAACGAUUUGGGCACUGUCUCAACGAGAGACUCGGUGAAAUCAUAGUACCUGUGAAGAUGCAGGUUACCCGCGACAGGACGGAAAGACCCCGUGGAGCUUUACUGUAGCCUGAUAUUGAAAUUCGGCACAGCUUGUACAGGAUAGGUAGGAGCCUUUGAAACGUGAGCGCUAGCUUACGUGGAGGCGCUGGUGGGAUACUACCCUAGCUGUGUUGGCUUUCUAACCCGCACCACUUAUCGUGGUGGGAGACAGUGUCAGGCGGGCAGUUUGACUGGGGCGGUCGCCUCCUAAAAGGUAACGGAGGCGCUCAAAGGUUCCCUCAGAAUGGUUGGAAAUCAUUCAUAGAGUGUAAAGGCAUAAGGGAGCUUGACUGCGAGACCUACAAGUCGAGCAGGGUCGAAAGACGGACUUAGUGAUCCGGUGGUUCCGCAUGGAAGGGCCAUCGCUCAACGGAUAAAAGCUACCCCGGGGAUAACAGGCUUAUCUCCCCCAAGAGUUCACAUCGACGGGGAGGUUUGGCACCUCGAUGUCGGCUCAUCGCAUCCUGGGGCUGUAGUCGGUCCCAAGGGUUGGGCUGUUCGCCCAUUAAAGCGGUACGCGAGCUGGGUUCAGAACGUCGUGAGACAGUUCGGUCCCUAUCCGUCGUGGGCGUAGGAAAUUUGAGAGGAGCUGUCCUUAGUACGAGAGGACCGGGAUGGACAUACCUCUGGUGUACCAGUUGUCGUGCCAACGGCAUAGCUGGGUAGCUAUGUGUGGACGGGAUAAGUGCUGAAAGCAUCUAAGCAUGAAGCCCCCCUCAAGAUGAGAUUUCCCAACUUCGGUUAUAAGAUCCCUCAAAGAUGAUGAGGUUAAUAGGUUCGAGGUGGAAGCAUGGUGACAUGUGGAGCUGACGAAUACUAAUCGAUCGAAGACUUAAUCAA